UACGGAGGGUGCAAGCGUUAUCCGGAUUCACUGGGCUUAAAGGGUGCGUAGGCGGUUAGGGAAGUCCGUGGUGAAAUCCUGCAGCUUAACUGCAGAACUGCCGUGGAUACUCUCUAUCUUGAAUAUCGUGGAGGUUAGCGGAAUAUGUCAUGUAGCGGUGAAAUGCGUGGAUAUCGAGAAGAACACUUAGGGCGUAGGCAAGACUCUGGACAAAUGCUGACGCUCAUGCACGAAGGCUAGGGUAGCGAACGGG
rnacentral:rRNA from 1 species